AAUGGGCGCAAGCCUGAUCCAGCAAUGCCGCGUGGGUGAAGACGGCCUGCGGGUUGUAAAGCCCUUUAGGUGGGGAAGAAGGAGGCUGGGUGAAUAGCCGGGUCUUUUGACAUUACCCACGGAAUAAGCACCGGCUAACUCCGUGCCAGCAGCCGCGGUAAUACGGAGGGUGCGAGCGUUAAUCGGAAUGACUGGGCGUAAAGCGUGCGUAGGCGGUAACGUCAGUCAGUCGUGAAAGCCCUGGGCUUAACCUGGGAAUGGCGAUUGAGACGGCGUAACUCGAGUGGGCUAGAGGACUGUGGAACUCCCGGUGUAGCGGUGAAAUGCGUAGAGAUCGGGAAGAACACCGAUGGCGAAGGCAGCGGUCUGGGGCCACACUGACGCUGAGGCACGAAAGCGUGGGGAGCAAA
rnacentral:rRNA from 1 species